UUCUCUUUUAUUAUUCUUGAUUCCCUCUUAUACGUACCGUGAACGCUUCUACCAAACAUAAAUAUAAAAUAAAAGAAUUAUAUGUGUGUAUGUAAGGUCAUUUGUAAGCAACGCUGGGUUAAAAUCUAAGGGACCGGUUUGAUGUACCGUUACGUUACACACUAAAUUCUGUUUUUAAAUUCAACCAAAAUUUUCGUCUCGAAUAUAAUACUGAUAGUCUGGAAUUUGUCUAUGAAAUUACUAUAGUUUUAAAAAUUGUGACGGCUGCGUGUAAUAAAAUUAUACUGUAUAUUUAAACAUGUAACUAUUGUACAAGUGUUUGUUCGACGUAUCUCGUAUGCAAAUAUUUAAUUAAUUUACCGGCACCGCUGAAAUUUUUAGUUUUAUCUAGAGAAAGUAUUUAAUUUUUUUUAUAAUGUUGAGUGUUAAACAUUCUCUUAAUUGUUUUGUUUCCAAAUGCGGAGCAAGAUGUCUAAGUCAAGGAAAAAAUUUAUCAAUUGUUCAGGACGUUUAUGUAAGGGAAAUUCCUUUAGUUAAUGAACCUAUGCUAAGUUAUAAAAAAGAUAGUAAGGAACGCAAUGAUUUGAUUGAAGCAUUGAAAAUUAAAUCGGCAGAAUGUCAAGAUGUACCUAUUGUUAUUGGUGACGAAGAAAUACGCACCGAUCGAAUCAAGUAUCAAGUUAUGCCUCACAACCACAGUAAAAAAAUCGCAAAAUUCUACCACGCCAGUCCUGACCUCAUAAAAAAAGCCAUAGAAACCUCCGUAAAAUCUCAGCGUAUCUGGGACUCAGUUCCGCUGGACAAGCGGAUCGACAUCUGGAUGAAAGCCGCGGACUUAAUGUCCACCAAAUACCGACAAGAGUUGAACUCAGCGACCAUACUAGGCCAAAGUAAAACAGUGAUCCAAGCAGAGAUAGACAGUGCAGCUGAGCUGGUAGAUUUUUUCCGUUUCAACGCGUACUUUCUUCGAGAGUCUCUGAAGUACCGGCCAAUCUCAACAAACGAGUCGAUCAACACCCUGAGGCACCGAGGGCACGACGGAUUUAUCGCGGCAAUUUCGCCGUUCAACUUCACUGCGAUCGGCGGGAACCUGGCUUAUACCCCAGCUCUGAUGGGUAACUCAGUGCUCUGGAAGCCUUCAGACACCGCGAUGCUGUCUAGCUGGACGGUCUUCAAAAUCUGCCGGGAAGCUGGAGUACCAGCCGGAGUGGUGAACUUCAUUCCAGCAGACGGUCCUGACUUUGGAGACACCAUCACUCAGUCUCGACAUUUAUCCGGGAUUAAUUUCACUGGGUCUCCAGGGACUUUCAACAGACUCUGGUCCCAAGUAGGCGCCAACAUCCAAAGCUACAACAAUUACCCAAAGUUAUCCGGGGAAUGCGGUGGGAAGAACUAUCACUUUAUUCACCCAUCAGCCGAACCAGAACACGUCGCACUGUCGACAAUAAGAAGCGCCUUCGAGUACAGUGGGCAAAAAUGCUCAGCAUGCAGCAGAAUGUACGUACCUGAUUCUCUCUGGCCGAAAAUCCGCGAGCGCUUGGUCUCCGUUGCAGAGGAACUAAAACUGGGACCUCCAGAUGACUUCUCAGUAUUUACCAGCGCAGUAAUUGAUGCUGCAGCUUUCAAACGGAUCACUUCGUACAUUGACUACGCUAAAUCUUCCCCAAGUACCCAAGUGAUCGCUGGAGGAACUUACGAUAACUCCAUCGGGUACUUUGUACGUCCCACAGUCAUUGUCACGACUGAUCCCAUGGACAAGCUGAUGCGGGAAGAAAUAUUUGGUCCCGUGCUCACUGUUUUCGUUUACCAGGACCGCGAUCUGGAUGCUACGAUGCAGCUUGUGGAAAAAAGCACUCCCUACGCCCUCACUGGCGCUAUUUUUGCCCAAGAUCUCCAAUGGGCCGCCAAAGCUCUUGAACAGUUCAAGUAUUCUGCAGGAAAUUUCUAUGUUAAUGACAAGUCUACUGGUGCGGUCGUGGGACAACAACCUUUUGGUGGACAUCGCAAGUCCGGGACCAAUGACAAGGCUGGUGGACCUAUUUAUUUACACAGGUGGUCGUCGCCUCAGGCUAUCAAAGAAACUUUUGUUCCGUUAAGUAAUUAUAAGUAUGAGUACAUGCAUUGAUGAUUAUUUUUAGUAGUUGAGGAAAUGAGAUUCUAAUGAACUUUUUUAUAGUUUAACAUUUUUUUUCAGGUACAUAUUUUUUAAUUGUUUAUUAUAAAAAUUUUUGGUAAAUAUUUACAAGUGGA